UACGUAGGCAGCAAGCGUUGUUCGGAAUUACUGGGCGUAAAGAGUGUGUAGGCGGUGUUCUAAGUCUGUUGUGAAAUCUCCCGGCUUAACUGGGGGGGUGCGGCGGAAACUGGAAUGCUAGAGGAUGGGAGAGGUAAGCGGAAUUCCUGGUGUAGCGGUGAAAUGCGUAGAUAUCAGGAGGAACACCUGUGGCGAAGGCGGCACUCUGGGCCGGUACUGACGCUGAGGAGCGAAAGCGUGGGGAGCGAACAGG
rnacentral:rRNA from 1 species